UGCCAGCCGCCGCGGUAAGACGAGGGGUCCUAGCGUUGUUCGGAAUUACUGGGCGUAAAGCGCAUGUAGGCAGUUUAGUAAGUCAGAUAUGAAAGCCCUGGGCUCAACCCAGGAAGUGCAUUUGAUACUGCAAAACUUGAGUAUCAGAGAGGGUAGUGGAAUUCCAGGUGUAGUGGUGAAAUACGUAGAUAUCUGGAGGAACACCGGUGGCGAAGGCGGCUACCUGGCUGAAUACUGACGCUGAGAUGCGAAAGCGUGGGGAGCAAACAGGAUUAGAUA
rnacentral:rRNA from 1 species